GCCCUUCGGGGUGGAUCAGUGGCGAACGGGUGAGUAACACGUGGGCAAUCUGCCCUGCAUUCUGGGACAAGCCUUGGAAACGAGGUCUAAUACCGGAUACGACGCAUCCCCGCAUGGGGUGUGCGUGGAAAGCUCCGGCGAUGCAGGAUGAGCCCGCGGCCUAUCAGCUUGUUGGUGGGGUAAUGGCCUACCAAGGCGACGACGGGUAGCCGGCCUGAGAGGGCGACCGGCCACACUGGGACUGAGACACGGCCCAGACUCCUACGGGAGGCAGCAGUGGGGAAUAUUGCACAAUGGGCGAAAGCCUGAUGCAGCGACGCCGCGUGAGGGAUGACGGCCUUCGGGUUGUAAACCUCUUUCAGCAGGGAAGAAGCGCAAGUGACGGUACCUGCAGAAGAAGCACCGGCUAACUACGUGCCAGCAGCCGCGGUAAUACGUAGGGUGCGAGCGUUGUCCGGAAUUAUUGGGCGUAAAGAGCUCGUAGGCGGCCUGUCACGUCGGAUGUGAAAGCCCGGGGCUUAACUCCGGGUCUGCAUUCGAUACGGGCAGGCUAGAGUGUGGUAGGGGAGAUCGGAAUUCCUGGUGUAGCGGUGGAAUGCGCAGAUAUCAGGAGGAACACCGGUGGCGAAGGCGGAUCUCUGGGCCAUUACUGACGCUGAGGAGCG
rnacentral:rRNA from 1 species